CAGAUAAUGAGGCCAAUUAUUAAUAGUUGAGCGACCGUGCUAAAACUACGGAACUCGGGAGUGCCUCACAUCUUCUCCUGGAUUAACAGAAUUACUUACCCGGUCUUCUGUGUUCGCAGACCAUAAAUAAAGUCAAAUUUACUUGAUUUGUGAUUUAAAAUAAAUCGGCGACUUGGGACACCAUAAAUUAUUCCAAGUGACGAAUCUAUUAUUUUUGUGGUUGUGAGUCGUGAGUGAGAGGUGAGUGAAAGGGAAGGGUUGAAUGACGGUCGAUUAGAGAGAUGGAGGAAAAUGGUGGUCUGGGGUUUUCAGAGAAAAUGCUAUGGAGGUGCGCCGUUUCUUCUUUUUAGAGAGGAGGGGUCUCCUCUUUUUAAUACGCACAAUGAACACACACGAAAAUGGACUCCCAUUUCAAAAUACUUCUGAAUUCAAAGUCUAAAUCAGCUGCAUGUGUUUCGAUGUAUCUGGGUUCUAAAUAUUGCUGUGGUUGAAAAAUUGCUGCUGCUCUUUGUUUGGAUCUACCGAUUUGUUCAUGGGUUUAGGAAAUCGCUAUUUUAGCUGUUGUUGAGUAUCCCGUUGAACAUUUCGGACUUUAGCUUUCCAUUUCAGCUUCAUUUGAAUAAUUUUGAGCUGUAUUGUUGCUGUUUAGGUAUGUUCAUACACUUUCUUUGUGUUUUUUUUACUGAACCAUGAACGAAGCUCGAGUUGUUUAUUGCUUUACGCUAUUAGAUCUAGUAUGUUUAAAGGCUAAUUUAGUUGGAAUCCUUUCCUCUGAUUAACCUCUGCAAAUCAUAGUUUUUUUUUUUAUAUUUUAUUUUGAUGAAAUGCUUAGGCGUGAUUAACUAGAAAAUUCUCUAAUGAA